AAGCUCUCCAAGCUCUCAUUCCGUCUUGCUCCCCUCUUCCAUGUAUUUGGAGCAGCCAUCCCCUCUCACCGCCUUCCCGGACACAUUCCCGGGUGUGAGGAGGGUUUCGGGAGCUGCCCGUGGGUGCCUGACAGCGCUGCCCGGAGCGGGACCCGCCGGGGACGGAGAGCUGGAGCCGCCGCCCGCUGCUCGCAUCCCCUUCCCCUGUCCCACCCAGCCGGGAGCGUCCUCCGGGUGCCGGGCUCGGUCGGCUGCUGAGUGACUCCAGGAGGGUGAAGCAGGUUUUCUCUUCCAAAAUGACUUUUCAAAUUCUGGUAUUGUGUUUGACAUACUCUGGGCUUGGAGAAGCAAAUGUGCUCCCACAGGAACACAAAAAAGUGAGGAUGGGUGACAGUGCGACUCUGAGCUGUGCCCUGACAAAACCCAUGGAUGUUGUGCAAGUGACAUGGCAAAAGGACUCAGAAGAUUUCCGUGACAAUACACAUGACAAUAUAGCUACAUACAGUACAAGUAACGGAUUGAAGAUUCACAAGCCCUAUGAAGACAGAAUGAAUUUCACAAGUUUGGAACUCAACAAGACAAGCAUAACUUUUUGGGUCACUAGAAUGGAUGAUUCCGGAUGUUACAAGUGUGUCUUCAAUGCUUUCCCUUUGGGCCCCUUCUCAGCGACCACCUGCCUGAGUGUUUUUGGUCUUAAUGCAUCUGUCCAUCACAACAUUUCUGAAGGUCAUUUGAUAGCCAUCUGUAAUGCUGAUGGCUUCCCAGAGCCCACAAUCACCUGGAACAACAUGUUCAAUUCUACUCCUACACAGAAGAUAGUCAAGCACAAAAAUGGGAUUGUGUCCAUCACGAGUAAACUGGAAAUCUACAACAUUCAGAGCAUCAAGGCACAGGAUUUGACCUGCAGAGUAAACAACACAGAUGAAACAUUUGAAUUGCCUGUGAAAAUAGGAGAAGAAAAGGGAUCAUCAUUGCUUUGGCUGGUGAUUAUUGCGGUGCUUCUAGUAGUCAUCACAGUUCUGAUUCUGAUUACACUGUUCUGGAGGAAGAUCCUGUGCAGGAGGAAUUGAAGUGGGACAAUCCAAGGCUGAAAACUGUGAGGGAAGAAUCCAAGCAGAGCAGAACAUGCUGCUCUUGGUUUGCUUUGAAGUAGCAGUCUCAGCUGAGGAUCCUUGAUGAUUUCUGUCCAUCUAACCGCUCAUUAGAAGUCAGCAGCCUGAAGUCAGCAUUACACAUACUGACUUGACUCGCUGGAAAGAAGCAGCAAAAAGAGGAGAAGACAUCAUGUACACUGCCCUAUCUGGAAACUGAGCUGAUCACUGAAAAAACUAACACAAUAUUUGUUAUCUAGUCUAGGUCCUUAAUCUUAAAAUGCAGGACUGGAGGGACCACAUGGUCUACUGCUCCACAGAGAAGGAGAUUUUUGUCAGGCAAAACCUUCUUUGCCCAUGCCACUCUUGGUACUGCUUCUGGGCAAAAUGUGUUUGUCUUCUUCCAGCUGAGUUUUGAAAAUGUCCGUGGAUAGAAGCUCUGCACACUCUCUGGGAGAUUCUCUUCCAGUGCUUAAUUGCUCUUGCUCUCUUGAAUUAGAGAGGGAUUUCAUUUUUGCCAACACCUGUCUGCAAUUUCACUUGCAGCAACUCAAGAGUUCACCACCCUCUUCCUGUCAUCUGAUUUUUCUUCUCUUAUCCAGCUGUUCCAACUCCUUUUUCUGUCUGGAAAGACCUGCUGGACUCAAAAUCAAGGACUCAAACUACACAAGAUUUGUCAAAAUUAUUGGGGAAGAGCAAUAAGACUCCAACAGGUGACUGAAUAAAGGCAGUAGCAGCCAGAGUAUGGAAAGAAGAAUUGUAAGUAAUUUGUAUAAUAUAUAAGUAAUUUACUUUACUUGAUUUUUUCCUAAUCCCAGAGUGCCUUCUUCUGUGUUAUCUGUGGUUUUUAGGGAUGUGUGUGGUGGGGUUAAAUAUGUAAAUGAGGAGGAGAUGGUAACAAAGGCCAGUGGUGGAAAGCAUUGUCUUCUCCAUCUUUCUGUUAAUACCCUAUCCCACUCCUUGCUGAGCUGCCAAAAAGCAUGGAUUUCAUCAAUAGUUUUUGUGCUCAUCUUAUGCACUGUUCAGAAUAGUCUUCCCUGUCUUCAUCCAUUUUUAUUGUGUUUUUUUAAACACAGAUAAAUGGCUUAGCUGGCCAAAAGUCAUUAUUCCAUGGCUGGAGCGCAUUGGGUGGGAUGUCACACGCUGAGCUCGCUGUCCUGUGUCCCUACUGUGGCUGCAGUGGUAUCAGCUGGCAGGCUUACAGAGGCUGAGCUUACUGACUUGUCAUGCCUUUGGUAGCAGAUAAAGACACUAUUGCACUAUUCUUAGGAGCUGGACAUAAUUCUACUCCUGUCCCAGGCUGGACUGGAGUUCCUCUCCUGACAUCCCAAGUUGCUCAUCACUGCCAGCCCAAGCCUGCUGAUCCAGCCACUUCCAGGCUUAAAGUUCCAGGUGUUUGACCCCCUCUUGCUGGGCAGCAGCAGGGUGCUCAGGAGGACCAUGCACUCCUGGGCAUUGCCCUGCAGCUCCUCUUCUUUGUGAGGGGUUGAAGGCUCCAGGUGCCCUCUGCUUCUGUGCUUGUUUUAGUUAGGACAGAGUUAUUAUCUUGUCACAAGUUAGUAUGAGGCUACCUUUCCAACUCUUCCCUUUCUUCCUGGGGACUGUGCAAGCAGCUGUGUGGUUAUUAGUUCCUGGCUGGGUUUAAACCAUGACAGCCUCUGAGCACCUCCGCAGGGCUCUGCGCCUGCCCCGCAAGGCAAAGACUGCUAAAAGCAAGCCUACCUCUGGGUGUUCCUUCCUAGUGGCCCAUUUUACUGACAGGAUAGACAGAUGGGAGGACACCAGGGGGUCCUCUGGUGACUUUUUGUUCAGCUAACGAGUGCUACUGUUCAGGCUGUUUCUCAGUUUUCCUUCUGUCUGGAUGUUUGUCGUUAUAUCAGGAUCACUAACAGUAUGCUCUUUUCUUUUGACUUUGAUGAGCAUUUGUUUGUGCAUCUGAAACAGUCCAUCUUACCAGAGUGUGUAGCGUUUUGCAUUGUGCCUUUUAUGUCAUAUGCUUAUUAAGGGUCCAAACUGUCAAGCUGAAAAAUCAACAACAGAGAUGUAAAAUUCAGGACAGUACUCAGAGCAAGUAUUUUGCUGGUUCUUGAGCAGUGGCCUCUCCAGAGCCUGGUAAAAAAGCUUCAUGUGUCUGUCUGCUUGUGUUCUUGAGUAUGUGAGGGCUGCUGUUUGCUCUGCUAUUGUAGGUGCAAUAUGAAUUAUUUAUUUGUACAUUUCACUUUUUCUAAUUACAAAAACAAAUCUGUUUCAACCAAAACACCAACUGGUUUUGUUUUUUUUUUUUCUUUUCCCCCUACUUGUUUGAGAUACCAGAAAUGUGUCAUUGCAAUUUGGGCUUUUUAAUAGGUUUUUUUUUAUACUUUACUUCCUUUCUGAACAGAAAAUGGGAGUUCAUGGGGCUUUUAAGGUGUUUUGGGGUAUUUUAUCCUUUUAAAAUAAGGUUUUGACCAAAACUUUUGAGAUAAAUUUACAGGAGUAUUUUUGACCAGAGCAGCUGCAGUUGAGUUCAGAUUUGAAAAUAACUUCAGUCAAUCAAAACAGUGUAUUCUGUAUUUUUGCUGUUAUUGUCUGUGUCAUGCUUGUUGCUUAAUUAUUUUUUAUCUAAAAUUACAUGCUCUACUGAUAUAUUGUCUGUCUUGUUUUCUGUAUUUCCUGGAUGAAAAGAAGCCAAAUAAAGCAAAUUUGAACAUAAGGC